UACGAAGGGGGCUAGCGUUGCUCGGAAUCACUGGGCGUAAAGCGCACGUAGGCGGCUUCUUAAGUCAGGGGUGAAAUCCUGGAGCUCAACUCCAGAACUGCCCUUGAUACUGAGGAGCUCGAGUCCGGAAGAGGUGAGUGGAACUGCGAGUGUAAAGGUGAAAUUCGUAGAUAUUCGCAAGAACACCAGUGGCGAAGGCGGCUCACUGGUCCGGUACUGACGCUGAGGUGCGAAAGCGUGGGGAGCAAACAGG
rnacentral:rRNA from 1 species